rnacentral:rRNA from 1 species
CUUAAGGAAUUGACGGGACCGCACAAGCGGUGGAUGAUGUGGUUUAAUUCGAUGCAACGCGAAAACCUUACCCACCUUUGACAUGUACGGAACCUUUAGAGAUAGAGGGGUGCUCGAAAGAGAGCCGUAACACAGGUGCUGCAUGGCUGUCGUCAGCUCGUGUCGUGAGAUGUUGGGUUAAGUCCCGCAACGAGCGCAACCCUUGUCAUUAGUUGCUACAUUCAGUUGGGCACUCUAAUGAGACUGCCGGUGACAAACCGGAGGAAGGUGGGGAUGACGUCAAGUCCUCAUGGCCCUUAUAGGUGGGGCUACACACGUCAUACAAUGGAUGGUACAAAGGGUCGCCAACCCGCGAGGGGGAGCCAAUCCCAUAAAGCCAUUCGUAGUCCGGAUCGCAGUCUGCAACUCGACUGCGUGAAGUCGGAAUCGCUAGUAAUCGUGGAUCAGAAUGUCACGGUGAAUACGUUCCCGGGUCUU